rnacentral:lncRNA from 1 species
CCCACCCCAACUCCAACAUAUGUAUGUUUUUUCUCUGUACUUCCACCAACAUAAAUCUACACUUCCGUUUGGGUAAUGAUCGGGAAUAACCAUAAAACCGAAGAAAGAAAGAACCCCUGCCCAUGAAUCUGCUAGCUUACAUCUUUAGCUAUAUUACACACUGUUACAAAUGAAGACAUCGGAUGUUCGUCAUUCAUCCACUCCGUCAAGUUGACAGAAGAAAGCAGCAGAAGCCAUGAAAGGAAAACAAUUACGAUUCAGUUAUGACAUCUACAUCUAUGCCUGGGGGAGACCGUGGGGGAACAACUUCGUCAUGAAUUUCAAAGAGGGGACCACUUUCCGCUAAAAUCUCCUGGCAGCUUGAGAAUGUUGAUUUCUACCAAUCUUUCUUGAAGGAAGUGACUCCGAGGCAGCAGCCUUUGAUGAACUGUUACUUUCAAAGGAUGCUAAGAAUUUGUCCUUUGAUAGAGAUUCUUGAGAAGAUAAAACAAUAGAACUGAAAACACCACUCGCCCUCAAACCUUGGACAAUAACC